UUGCGUACCUGAGCCGACUACAAGAAACGAUACAUAUGCAGGAGCCUACGCACACGGUCGCUGGUGUAGGACAGUCGCGGAAGCGGUGACCCUGCUUGACCGAGUCGACCGCGAUCUCCAAGUCGGCCGUGUUCUCUCCACGUACCAUUUAUCUGUGUUCUUUUAUAACCGGUCACGAUAAGCUAGCUUUGCUUACAAGCGUGGCCCGAUACCGUUCCUAGAUAAAGCUAGCUUAAUUCCUCCAAACACGGUAUAUCUUACCGUUUCGAAGUCGCUUCACGAUUCACGCCUCGGAUUUACAAACCGUCCGUCCAUAAUCUAUACGAGUUGAGUAGAAAGGACUCUCACGAAACACGUCCGAACUAUACCAGUCAUCGACACAGUUGAGUCACGAAUAACUAUACCGUCAAUUCUAGCUCGUUAUCCUACUACUAGACCAUGUUUUUCGUUCGGUUGUUCGAGUACUAAAAGUCUAUGUGGAAGGCUGAGAAUUUUACGAGGAUAAAAAUGUAAAUAACUUUAGGUUUUAUUACCGGUUAUUUCGGAUGAAGAUAAGCGAAGAUCGUAUUGACAGAGAUUUAUACGACUUUCAGAAUCUUGGAAUUUUCUGUAAUUUCAGUUGCUUUAACCUCUCUCGUGGACAAAAAUCGUGAUCUAAAGCCUGUGACGUAUGAAAAGACGUACUAAGAAGUUGUCGAUCUUGCUGAGACAGGCGAAAAGAAAGUGGAUCGAAUGCAAUCGUCGAAUAAAACUGGGAAACUAAGUAACUGGACUGUCACAAAGGGGCGAAAGGAAACAGAUGUCAAAGGGCGAGAGGAUUUUUCGUGAGGUCGUAUAACGUGCGCGUGUAGAAUGAUAACUGCGUAGAUGACGACACCUGGCGGCCUCGUGACGAAAAGCGUCGUUCUCGGAAGCGAGAACGGAUUUUCAUUCAUUUGUGUAAAAAAAUUUCGAAUACGAUAUUGAAUGGAAAAAUAUUAGAGUAUGUAUGUAGUAUAGUAUAGUAUAGUAUACAUAUAAUUUAUGUAUUAACAGUAGUAAUUCUUCCAUCGUUGGUAAGAAUCAUUUUCCUUCUCAAUUAAAGUCACAAUAUUAUUUUCGUUUCUAAAGCAUAUCGUCAUACAUGCCUUUUAUUCUUUUAAUUGUGUAUGUUAACGUAAUAAAUAUAUUCAAUAUAAUUGAUAGAAAUCAUAUUAUUCGCUAUCCUUAUAUCUAAGAGCUGAUGCAAGCAAAAAUAAAUUAACUGUAUUAAAAUAAAACUUUUUCUAAAAUAGAA